rnacentral:rRNA from 1 species
GAUGAACGCUGGCGGCGUGCCUAAUACAUGCAAGUCGAGCGAACGGACGAGAAGCUUGCUUCUCUGAUGUUAGCGGCGGACGGGUGAGUAACACGUGGAUAACCUACCUAUAAGACUGGGAUAACUUCGGGAAACCGGAGCUAAUACCGGAUAAUAUUUUGAACCGCAUGGUUCAAAAGUGAAAGACGGUCUUGCUGUCACUUAUAGAUGGAUCCGCGCUGCAUUAGCUAGUUGGUAAGGUAACGGCUUACCAAGGCAACGAUGCAUAGCCGACCUGAGAGGGUGAUCGGCCACACUGGAACUGAGACACGGUCCAGACUCCUACGGGAGGCAGCAGUAGGGAAUCUUACGCAAUGGGCGAAAGCCAGACGGAGCAACGCCGCGUGAGUGAUGAAGGUCUUCGGAUCGUAAAACUCUGUUAUUAGGGAAGAACAUAUGUGUAAGUAACUGUGCACAUCUUGACGGUACCUAAUCAGAAAGCCACGGCUAACUACGUG